GGGCAUUCACCUGCAAGACCAUGAAACCUAGGCAGCAAAUCUAAUAGUCCAGAGGUGAGAACGCAAUGAACAUCAUCCUCUUUAAGUGAAACUGGCUCCCAAAGAACACUCUCAAGAAUGGGAGGAUGAGUCAUAUUGUUCUCAACAUAGAAAUCAGCAUGAGAACCAUAAUCAGAGUAACAUGCAGAUGGAGAAUCAUAGUCAUAGGCACAGGUAGAAGAAGUAGUAUUCACAAAAUCAAAAUAGGUAGACAUAGAAAAAGAAGGGGGAGGUAGAUAGGAAAAGCUAAAAAUUAUGAAACAAACAAAACACAACACAAUUAAACAUGCAACACGAACACAAUAACGCACACACAAAACAGAACAUCACAACACAAGACAAAACACAAGACACACUAAUAUAAGAAAAGACCUAAACCCGAACCGUUGGUUCCCGGCAACGGCGCCAAAAUUUUUAUGGGUGUCGUACCCCAUGCAAAAUUAAUGUGCAUAAAGAAUGCAGUAUAGUACUAGGAAGUGACUCCUAGGUCAUCUCUCAAGGACCAAAUGUGGUUCGAGAAUUAGGUCAAACACGUAGUUGGGGGGCUUGUUGAAAAGUUUGUGAAUGUUGAUAAACAAAAUAAUAACAUGAAUGCAAACAACAAUGUAAACACAGAUGCAAACAGAAAGGUAAACGAAAAUGUAAAAACAAAAUGUGAAAACAGUUGGUCAUUAACUCAAUCACUAUGCUUCCAAUCACAGAUUAACGAGAAGUACACACUACUCUAAUCCAAAUCCAACACGAAUCACCCAACUAAGCGAAAGUUAAUUCGGUCUUAAAAAUUGCAAACUAAGCGAAUGCAAUGCUCAAACCCAAUCAAUCAUCCAUCGUGCAGUCUAAUCAAUUAGGCGAAGAU
rnacentral:lncRNA from 1 species